rnacentral:rRNA from 1 species
AUUGAACGCUGGCGGCAGGCCUAACACAUGCAAGUCGAGCGGAGCGGCGGACGGGUGGGUAAUGCCUAGGAAUCUGCCUGGUAGUGGGGGAUAACGUCCGGAAAGGGGAGCUAAUACAGCAUACUAUCAGAUUAGCUUAGGUGGGAUCAGCUAGUUGGUGGGGUAAAGGCCUACCAAGGCGACGAUCCGUAACUGGUCUGAGAGGAUGAUCAGUCACACGGGAACUGAGACACGGUCCAGACUCCUACGGGAGGCAGCAGAGGGGAAUUUGGGACAAUGGGCGAAAGCCUGAUCCAGCCAUGCCGCGUGUGUGAAGAAGGUCUUCGGAUUGUAAAGCACUUUAAGUUGGGAGGCGUUACCAACAGAAUAAGCGCCGGCUAACUACGUGCCAGCAGCCGCGGUAAUAC